rnacentral:lncRNA from 10 species
GCCAAUCGCUUGAGGUCAGGAGUUCAAGACCAGCCUGGCCAACAUGGUCAAACCCCAUCUCUACCACAAAUACAAAAAUUAGCAGGGCAUAGUAGCACAUGCCUGUAGUCCCAGCUACUCGUGAGGCGGAGGCAGGAGAAUUGCUUGAACCUGGGAGGUGGAGGGUGCUGUGAGCUGAGAUUGUUCCACUGCACUCCAGCCUGGGUGACAGAGUGAGACUCCAUCAGAAAAAAAAAAGAAAAAUUUAUUUUGGCUCAUGGUUCUGCAGGCUGUACAGGAAGUGCUUUUUUAACUCCUCAAGCUGCAACAUUAAAUGCAGAGUCCCUACUUAGUGGGCCCAAGUCAAUAAAUUCAGCCUGAUCUAAGGAAGGAGACCACCUCUCUUAUUGUCUCAUACCUCAGAAAAAGAAUGAGGAAAAAUAAGUUAAAGAAGGCAAAAAUGAGAUAAAUAGUCAGGCAGCCUGGCCCCGCACCCCAGGCCUGGUCUGCUAAUUAAAUAUCAACCCCUGACUAACUGCUUGUACUAUCUAUAGAUUCCAGACAUUGUAUGAGGAAGCAUUGUGAAACUUUCUGUUCUGUUCUGUCUUAACUACCAAUGCAUGGGGCCCCAGCCAUGUACCCCAUGCUUGCUCAAUUGAUCACAACCCUUUCACGUGGACCCCCUUAGAACUGUAAGCCCUUAAAAGGGGCAGGAAUUUCCCUCUUGGGGAGCUCAGUUUUUGAGAUGCAGGUCUGCUGACGUUCCUGGCCAAAUAAAGCUACCUCUUCCCUCAACCCAGUGUCUGAGGGGUUUUGGCCAUGGCUUAUCCUGCUACAGAUCCAACUCUGUGUUCCUUCCACCAUUAUCCCAUAACCUUAAUAUCCAUUCCCAUGCCUGUUCUCCAG